CCAUACAUUUAUGAAUGAAAUUAGAAAAAGCACACAUACUGGUGUUAACUGAUUAUGUGGUCAUAGUAAUGGGGGACUUCCAUGUAGAAGACUACAGCUGGAUUUCAUCAGUGAGGAAAGAUGAGGCUGGGGAAGUCAAGCAUGGGGAAUGACUCAGAUAUAAACCUGAUCACAGCACAAAAGCAAAAAGGUGGGCAAGGUGUCCUUUUUUUCUGGGUGGAGCUCAGCACAAUAAGCUCUGUGACCCUGCCAUGGAGCACAGGAAGGGAAAGAGGCUUCACGCCACCCCAGAGCCGAUUUGUCCUCCUGUGGGUAAACCCGCACCAGCUGGGGCGCUGUUCUGGAGUGCACCUGAGGGGAGUCAACUCUCUCCCACUGAGAGUCGGGAAGCCAACGCCGACCCUCCUGUCCUGCGCCCCCACUCCCCCCCCCCGCCUUGGCACUGCAAGGACGCGUUGCGUCCCGCGGUCUCGCGGGCACGACAGGAAAAGAGAUAAGGGGCACAAUGGCAGAAGAAGGGAAGCAGGCAGCUGUGUUUUAAAAGGGAACAGCACACUUGGGCCAGGCUUGUGAAGCGGACCACUGGAAGGCCAGACUAAAAAGCUGUGAUCUCUACUCUUUGAGAAUGAUGUAAUGCUGUCUUCACUGAGUCCCAGAAGCCCCCAGUGGAGGAGGAGGAGGAGGAAGACAGGAGGGCGAUUGCUGUCCUGCACUGCUGCGGUGCCAGGCCAGAACCAGGGCCCCCGGGCCUCAUAGUUUUCUUUCCAAACACACUCCUGCUAUUGACCAGCUCCCUUAAAACUGCUCUCUUCUGAACUAACCCUUGAGCUUGCAGUUUGGGAUUUCACUACAAUUCUUCAUGCAAAAUAUCCUGACUUUGUAAGGCGACAGGUUGAAAAUAAAGGCAAAAAACGUCUCUUUUACCACUCUCUUUACAGCUAACAAGUAUAAUAAAUAAUAAUGCUGAGAAUGAGCGUUGCUGAGACUGUUUUUUGGAAUAAGAAUCACAAUCAAUAAACUGAACAACUAUCUGCUACUCUACCAAAAGUUGCAGGGUUUUCAGGUUUUUCAAAAAGAUUGAAUGCAUUUUUUAAAAAAAGUCUUCGUGGCUUCUUUAGAUGCUGCACGUCUUGUCGAUCUCAGAAGAAGCAGCUCUGCCUGGCGUGACCGGGUGCUUCAGAAGGAUUCACUGCAGGGCGAGGAAGGAAACAGCCCUCCGCUGAGGGUCCCAGCUGCAGGCCUCAGGCCUGCGUGCCUCUUCUUUGCAUACACACUUUGCAUCUCAAACUAGGGUCAGUGCACAAGCCCAAACUGUCCAGCUUGAACCAGAUCAAGAAGCUGCACUGCAACAAGCUGUGCUCUGCUUAAUCUGAACUGGGAGGUACACAGACAGACCAAACACUGUAGAUAAAGGCAAACUAAAAUCAAAGGAAUCACCAGAGAAGGCUGCUGAACAUCUCCUGUUCUGUGUAAAUUACAGGCAGGAAGAAAAUGUCUCUUACAUUAGGAUACUGACUGAUGAGCCAUUUCUUUCCUAAUUGUUGAUGAAAGUCUUAAAAACACAAACCAAAAUGGAGCAAUAGUUCAACUUUAUCUGAUUGCAACUCGUUUGAAGCUCGUUAGACUGUUUCCUCUGUGUGUUUGAGCCAGGCUGAUACAGGCACCGUGCCAGCAUGUUAUCCCAGCUUGUGGUGCUGGACAAAGGUCACUUGCACUCCAACCGCAUGGAAGAUACUGGUCCAGUGUGGGGACUCUGCAUGUCUGAGAAAACAGCUCAGUGGCACAAACCUCACCUGUGAUAACAGUUUAAGAGUCAGCUGAUCUAAUUCCUGCAGGUCAGGGCUUGCAUGCAAGAAAGAGGGGGACUCUAAUGUAAUAAAGAAAGCAGAGGUACGGGUGCAUAGUGUUAUUUUUACUACUGUAAGUAUUUCUUUAAAGAAGGCAUUGCUUAGCUGUUACAAGGAAGCGACAAAAGGCUUUUAUACCACAACAAUGUGCUAAUAGUCAUCUUGGAAAGUUAAAAAAGUUUUCAAAAAAUGAUUUAAUGAUUUACAGGAAGCAUUAAGCCUCAAACAGCUAGCUGAAACAGAGCAUUGUGCUUGAACUGCGUAACAGGGUCUCUGAGAUACUGAGAAAUGUUGAAGAGUGGGAGGGUGUGUGUGCUGGGUGGGGGGGAUUUUCCCAAGGAAGUGUUGUGCCGUAUCUGGAAUUGAUAAGCUCUGUAGCUUCAGCCAAGAAUGCCUCAUUGUCUGAUGUCCGCUUCCCCAAAGUUUCCCCAUGCCAGGGGAGCAACAACAGGUGAGCAAACCACCCACCCCAAACCCAGCGCUGCCGGCCUGCCAGGGCAACGGUUUGGGGAGUCUCCUACAAGCCAGCUACCCCCUUUGACAAGAAGGAGGUACGAAAGGCCCUAUCGGUCUCCACAGGCGUACCUGCCUACAGAAGCCCAAGAGGUACAAACACAAAGAAAACAAAUUAAAAAAUAGAAAUGAACACAUGGGGAUCCCAAUCUAUAUCACCUCAUCAUUACAUUAAUAUCAUUAGCAUGUGCAUAAUUAGCUACACUGCAGGACCAUCAUUAAACAUUCAUAGGCAUAAAUAUCUCCUCUUUCUUGUUACAUAUGCCUGCCUCCCCUAAAUGAUAACUUGAGGCAUCAGAAAAAUGCUGUGUUCGCUAUUUAAAAAGCACAAAUCACCAGCUAGAUCAUACCACUGAAAAACAACAUUCCAGAGGACCAUCAGGCUAAGUGUAUGUAUGCAUGCACACACAGUUAAUAACGCGGGCCCAGUCCAGAUACAUCAAGCACCGCACAAGGCGAUGAAUCCUGAACUGAAGAAAACCGCAUGUGCAGUAUUCGCUGGGCAGAGAACAAUCCCUUCACACAUUAUCAGCUCUUCUGACUGAAAAACAAUGCGAACUGGUUAAAAACCAGUGCUGGAGAAUGCUGGGUACUUUCUCUUUAAGCAUUUCCGAGACAAGCCCAUUUGGAUGGCCGUCUCCCAUGCUAGCACACAUGCCCUUACGAACAUGGCUUUAAUUUCUGCUGCCUCUUAUUUUCUUUUUUCAGGUAUUAAAAAAAAACUACAGAAUAAGAAUCUGUUUUCUUGCUAUGCAGAAAGAAGAAAUGGCCUACACUGGAGUGUCCUGCAGUGCCGUGUCUAUUGAAUGCAAAUCAGAAGCCAGAGCACUAGAUGGUUGCAGCAUUCAUUUCCAAUUCGAGAACGGUAGCGCAAUCAGAGGUCCCAGGUGGAUAAAAGGAAAGCAGUUCUCUGAAUAUUAGCUAAUGCCACAUUUGCAAGUCUUCAAGGGAAAAUCCUGAGCUGUUUGGGGGGAAAAAAAAGAAAAGAGAGAUCAUUUCUUGCAAAACCUAUAUAUGAAUCACUUUGUACUGCUGGACUGAUGGAAGCGAUGCCUGGGUUGGGAUUAAACUCUUUUCAUCAUGAAACCCCAUCUGGUAUUGAGACCACGUCUGUCAAAGCCUCCUUCCUUUAAAGUCCCGUUUUUGAUUCCACAUCAAUUUAUUCCGAUCGCAGCUGUGUGACUUUUAAAAAACACGAAAGGACAGCACCGGCUUGAACCACACAUAUUCCAGGCUUGAAAGGGACUGCUAUAAUUAAAAACAAUGGGCAUGAAAGAAUGAUAAAUGGAUCUUUUUCCCCCAUUUUCCCCAACAAGUGGCCUUAAGUCCAACAGAUGUUAGACCUUUUAAGAUGGUACUAAGCCAGAAAGCUGACAUUAAAAUUGGCUCCUGGGAAAGCGUGGUGGCUCAGUCUUUCACACGCUGGUGUUUCUCUAAAUUAUCCAGACCUCACUAUUGCCCUGUUGCACAGCAAUUACUAAUUAGGACUUUAGUGCCUUUGCUCCAGAGUAAAGAGAAGGAUGGCUAUCAAAACAUAGAAGUUAAUCUAUUCUCAGUUUUCUGAUACCAAGAGCUUUGGUUUCUUUACAAAUUCAGCUGGUUUUCUCUGCACCAGCAGAGCACAGGGGAAGGUUGUGUACUUGCUGUGUUGAAAUACCCAACCUGUUCAUAUGAUUUAAAGUCAUGUACUAUAAAUUGGCAGGAGUCCUUGUACUACUGCAACCUGUAAUGUACAGUAGGUAUCAUUAAUUAUACUAAUCUAAAUAUAUUAAAGCAUUGGUACAGUAUGUGGUGCAGUUGAUCUGUCUUAGUUGUAUUUAUAUAUUUUGAUACAUUCACAUAAAUGACCGGCUCUGUCUCUCCUUGUCAAGUUGAUCCUUAUACACCAGUGUCAUCCUUACAGAGAAUCAAUCUAUAAUCUAAUGGUGUUGAGCGGCACAGGGUGAGACAGGGGCACAAUGGGCUGGAUAUCCUUUUUGGGAGGGAGAUGAAUGUAAGGACAAGGAACCAAGGAGGAAUGGUGGAAACUCAUUUUUUAAAUCAUAAAGGUUGGAAGUGCUGUUUUGCGUGUAUUGUAAAGGUGGCAAAGAUGGACAAGUCUACCCUCAGAACAAUACCUUUGCUGUGGUUUACAGAUGUGCACAUUACAUGAAAUGAACCAUUAUAAUGCAGAAUGAGAGAGUCAAGAACACAAGGGAGUGAAAAUUAAAAUCUGUCAAUCUCUUAUGCAUUAUAUAAUUAAGAUCUGCAGUCCUUUUAACGCAAGGAAGCCAAGUUUAAACUAAACAAAGAAUGAGCUAAAACCGACAGUAAGAAGCAGCUUUUUAGUUGUAUGGUUAGCACUCUUUUAGGUACAAACAAUAGGGCUGCCAUUAGCAAUGCUGAUUGAAACUGGGGGCUAGUGUUACUGGGGGUUUACGUCAGGAUGGGAUAGCACCUUUGGCUGUUCAGAUUCAGGUUCUACAGCUCAACUAUUUUUCUGUUCAUCUGGGGGGGCUGGUUGCCAUAGGCUGAGUACCCCUUCCCCGCCCUUGUUGUGCCCUUGGGGAGAAUGUAAAACCAAACUAGAAAUGGAUAAGCAGCUGAUUAAAGUGCCACAUUCAAACACAACUGGGUCUGGCACAUACUACAGGAGAGGCCUGGAGCCCACUUAAUCUUCAGCCCCGCUACUGUUCUAAAAAAACAGUUUGCAUCAGCUUGCUCUCAAAGAGAAAGCAACGACACACCUGUGCACAUGUUCAAGUCACUUUGGGGACCAUGGUCCAAUUCAAAACUGCAAAAACAACACUCACAGUAUGUCUGGGUUUCACAACACUUUAUGGCGGAUCUGCUGACCUAUAUUUCUGCCUUUUACUGUUCUGUAAUAGCAGCAAUACUUAAUCAUAUAUUUCUAUUUGACUGUGUUUUAAUUGGAGAUUCGCAUUGAAGGGGAUUUCUUAAAGGACAUGGUCCUGCCAGGAAGCCAGGAAAGAGCAACCAUUUUAUGAUUUAAGUUAACUAUCUACAUACUGCAUAAACGUAAAGUCUCUUCCAAGUAAUCUUGUGAAGUGUUUCACGUGAGAAGACAGCGACUAAGGCAGAAAACAUUUCAGUAAACAGAAUACAGGAAUACAGUAUGUGAGCCAGCCUGGGCCAGAGACUCCAAAUAAAUUUAAUAUAAAUCUUCAACCCAAUCCUUCUGAAGAAUCUGCAGAGCUUUGCGAGCUAGUGAGAAAACCUCUGCAGUGAAAAACUGCAGAGAUGAGCUGUAAUGAAAACACAAAGCCAAAUCUGACUGACUUAAUAUGCCUGCGCUUUUGUUAUAAUACUGUAAGUGUUUAAAAUUCUCACAUUGAGCACGUGUGGCACAAUCUGAAAACAGCUGUGAUGCUGCGAAGUCUACAUCUUCUUGUCUUAAUUAGCUGCUCUGGAAGAUGCUCUUUGAAGACUUGACAGCAUCAUCACUUUGCCAAUCACUGCUCUGGAAGGAGAUAGCUGCGUUCUCUGCCUGUGAUCUCUCUCUGAGCCAGGCCCUUUCAAGUCCACGCAAUAUUAAUGGUCUUGGGGUGCAGGGAUAACUUGUGUGGAAAAAAAAUAUCCUUGAAACGUGCUUGAAGCACAAGACAGACGAUUUUAAAUGAUCUAAUUAAACAUUCCUGUUGUUAAAGACAACAGCCCUGAAGAAUUCCCAUUGUUAGUCUUUCUCCAGUGGUAAACUAGCACUAAUUUCAUGUCUGCUCCAAAUCAAGUGCCUUCAAAGGGAAUGUUAAUCUUGGUCUAUUACAACACUAAUAGAGUGUCGUCAAUUAAAAUGCUUCUGCAAGGUCUUAUUCUUCUUAAGCAUUCAAACCAGACAGUAUAUCAAUCUUUAUAUUCAGCGAGAGUAUUCAGUGCAGUGGUGCUGUAUCAUGACAGUGCACAUACUGUAUACACAACACAUUAAGCAAAGGCAGGUUUUCAUUUUCAGGACGUACAUGGUGGAAAAAAAAGAGGUAUAUCGGAAAACGACAACAAUAUUGUAAAGAACGGGUGGUGGGGGGUCAAAAACACAUCCCUGGGCUUCCGUUGACUUCCCUCACCAUACAGGGGCUCUCAGCCCAUUCUUGUCAUGAGAUACAGUGCAGGAGGACAGCGAUACGUCAAAACAGACUCGGGGUUUGAUGGGGACCAGCUAAGAGUCUCAAAGCAGCAUGGUCAAAGCUGGACAAUUCUUUUAGACGCCUUCUACAAGGUAUUGGUUUAUUUCUUUUGGUGACAAACAA